rnacentral:rRNA from 1 species
AAACACACCCAAUCUUAUCUGAUCUUGGAGGCUAAGU